rnacentral:rRNA from 1 species
AUUGAACGCUGGCGGCAGGCAUAACACAUGCAAGUCGAGCGGGGGAGGUUGCUUCGGUAACUGACCUAGCGGCGGACGGGUGAGUAAUGCUUAGGAAUCUGCCUAUUAGUGGGGGACAACAUUCCGAAAGGGAUGCUAAUACCGCAUACGCCCUACGGGGGAAAGCAGGGGAUCUUCGGACCUUGCGCUAAUAGAUGAGCCUAAGUCGGAUUAGCUAGUUGGUGGGGUAAAGGCCUACCAAGGCGACGAUCUGUAGCGGGUCUGAGAGGAUGAUCCGCCACACUGGGACUGAGACACGGCCCAGACUCCUACGGGAGGCAGCAGUGGGGAAUAUUGGACAAUGGGCGGAAGCCUGAUCCAGCCAUGCCGCGUGUGUGAAGAAGGCCUUUUGGUUGUAAAGCACUUUAAGCGAGGAGGAGGCUCUUGAGGUUAAUACCCUUGAUGAGUGGACGUUACUCGCAGAAUAAGCACCGGCUAACUCUGUGCCAGCCGCCGCCGUAAAAC